rnacentral:rRNA from 1 species
GAAACUAAAAGAAUUUGGCGGCAAUUUAAUUUUUUAGAGGAAUUUGUCUCGUUAUCGAUAUUCCGCGAUUUGUUUACUUUAUCUGGUUUAGCUUAUAUAUCGUUGUUAAAAGAAUAUAUUUUUAGGUUUAUUUUCUCUAUUUUUGUAAAAUUGUAUUUCAGAUCAAGGUUUAGCUUAUGAUAAAGUGAGGAUGAAUUACAAUAAUUGAAGUUAUACGAAUGUUGAUUUUUGUAUUUAAACUGAAGGUGGAUUUAAGAGUAAGAUUAUUUAGUUUAGUA